rnacentral:tRNA from 2 species
AGGUGAGUAGCUCAACUGGUAGAGCACCGGUCUCCAAAACCGGCGGUUGCGGGUUCAAGUCCUGCCUCACCUG